CCUCCGCCACCGAUUCUCCCGUGAGUCCAUCCUUCCUCUCAAGUUCUCCAUGCAAGUACAAAGAUGGCGGCGGCACGGGCGGUCCUCCAAGCGAUAACUGCGGCUGGGUAUGAGGGGUUCGUUGUGGAGGCGGUGCAGGGUGUGCGGCGUCGGGGACAUCGGGGCUUGGUCUUCCAGUAAAGAUUCCCGCCAGAAUGGGGCUCCCAACGAUGGGAGCGCUGCCGCCCCCGAUCUGAAGUGUCGACCUCCCCGAGAUCCCGCUGGUGGUUGCUUGGCGGAGCUGCUGCAGCCGGACUCCUCCCCGAUCUGAUGUUGCCGCCCGUCCCACACGUUGACCAUCGUCCGUGCGCAGCCAUCCAGCAGAUCCCCUCGUGCCGCCCCAUCGUCCGUCCGGUUCUGUAUCUGCGGAGAUUUAUUGAGCGCAGUCUGAUACUUGAGAGAGAUCAUCUUUUAAGGCCUCAAUGGACUCCCUGAGCCGAGAUUUUGAUAGAAUGACGACUAGGAGCUGGGGAGAAGGGCGUUCAAGGGAAGAGGAUAUGUGCGUCGCUGACUCCGAUCAAUGGGUUCAUCAAGUAGCGCUUCUGAGCUAUCCACUGUGGGUGCAUAUUCAAGCUAAAAUAUCAUAUGUUUACAACAGAAAUAUUGUACCAUGGUAAAGUUUCUAUCAGUUUUAUUGCUCUGAAGGACGUACCCAGUGCUGAGAGUUUAUUGGUCUGAAGAAUAUAUGUAAAACAUAAAGUUUUCUCGUACUUACUAUUCCUUUCCAGGUUUUUUCCAGAAAGUUUCUGUCAGUUUUGUUAGACUGAAUAAUACGUGUAUACGGAAAGUUUGCUGCUACUUGUUGUUCA